CGGUUACCUGGUACACUCGUGGCACAGGAAUUUGUAUUGUACCAUAGAUUGCGUAGUAGUACUAGCGUAAGAGAGAUAUCGUCCCCGUUAAAUAUAGUAUAAAAUCAACGUGAAUGUCAAUUUUAAAUCACUUUAGUCUCGUGUAACGUUAGUGGGAAGAAACUUGCGUGUUAAGAAUGUCCGAAGGCCAAACAAAAACACAGACAUCAACGAUGGAAACCCUUCACGCCUUACCUAUACGGCUUGAAGAUGUACAAGGAGAGGUUGCGGAAGAACCAGUUGUUAAGAGCAGACGCAAAAGAAACGUUAUCGCCGUACCUCUUCGUGGUAAAUUCAGGGAUCACAAGGGCAACGUCGUGAAGCCGUUCGAAUGAAUUCCAGUUCGACUUUGGAUACAAUGCUUUAUUGGAACUUUUCAUACUUUUACAAUAAAACACAAUAAUGUUAGGAAAACUAUUAGUAGUGUGUGAUUUGUUAAGGAUUCUCACACUGUAAACUUUUGUUAUUGCUUCUUUGUAAACGUUGUUCGAAUGGAGAUUUACUAAAAAUCAAAGUAAAAGAGAGUGUAUUUUUUAUAAGUUUAGAUUCGCAUCUGGAUAAAAUUUUGGCAUUCGACCUUAAUCUACUUAACGCUGAAUAAAUGUAUGACAAAUGCGCUCGUUCAAUGCUAUUAACAUUAAUAAAUCAAAAAAAUAAUGAGUUCUAUCAUUCAAUUGAAGUUUCCAUUCAUACUAAACGGUUCUGUUCUGGUGAAACGACGUUCGAAUCCACCUAGGAAACUCACGUACCCACUCUCAAGAAUGUCCUUAACGGUUACUAAUUAUAUAGUUUGUUUGUGCGCAUUAAAUUGCUUAAUUGCCUGCGUUGGAAGUGAAGGUUUAGGAGUAAGUAAUUUCUCCAGUAGCCCGACUAUGCAUGAAUCGUCUGGGAAGAACGACAGCCAAAAGCCAAUAGGAUGGUAUCUCGAACCGGAAGGAAAAAAUUUAAAUAGAUCCAUGUCAUUUUGAGUUUGAGAACAUGUAGGUAUAGCCACAGCUGAGUAUACUUAUUAUACUCGUUCCAGUAGUAAAUAAAUUAAGAAUAUUAUAUGCAUAGUUACAGCGGCAUUGCUUAUUAAAAUGAGUUUUGGAUUAGAUCCAAAUGCAAACACUUAAUCUUUGUUAUCGAGGAAGAUUUUAAUACCCGUUUGAGCCGAGAGUGGAUUACACACCCUUGUCUCUGAAAUUAAUUUCUCUGCACUGUUUCCUGAACCGAAGCAGUAUCGCACAGUAUCCAAGGUGGCAGCCUCCCUUUCUCCAUAUCAAAAACUGGAAAUGGAUAUAGUGUUAACUAAACAUCAAGAUGCAUUCAGUAACAAGGUUGGUCUGCUAGAGGGUUCACCUAUAACGUUACAUCUGGAACGUGAUGGAACGCCAGUCCGCAAAAGUAAGAGAAAUUCCGUUAGCACCACGCGACCCGUAUGCCCAGGAAAUUGAAUCAAAAAUCGCAUCGGGUGGUGGUCACCAACAAAAAUGACUACCACUCUUGCAGAUCAUGCAUCCAGAAAAAUCGCUACUUGAUCGAACAUCCAAA